UCCCAUACACAUAAUUCUGUGUGGAGACAAACUUCUUGUUUGAGAAUGUUGUUAGGAUACAGUAUUGCCUUUGUGCUAAUUUCAUAUUCUUAUGGACAGUCCCUGACCUCCUCUGCUUCUGUUGUGAAGAGACCUGGAGAGUCAGUCACUCUGUCCUGUACUGUGUCUGGAUUCUCUUUGAGUGGUUACUACAUGCACUGGAUCCGUCAGAAACCAGGACGAGGACUAGAAUGGAUCGGGCGCAUUGACGAUGGCAGUAGCACUGGCACUACAUUUCCUCCGUCUCUGCAGGGACAGUUCUCCAUCACUAAAGACACCAAUAAAAACAUGGUGUAUCUAGAAGUGAAGAGUCUGAAAGCUGAAGACACGGCUGUUUAUUACUGUACACGAGACACACAGUGA